rnacentral:rRNA from 1 species
AGAGUUUGAUCCUGGCUCAGGACGAACGCUGGCGGCGUGCCUAACACAUGCAAGUCGAGCGGGGAUAUACGGAAGGUUUACCGGAAGUAUAUCCUAGCGGCGGACGGGUGAGUAACGCGUGGGUAACCUACCUCAUACAGGGGGAUAACACAGGGAAACCUGUGCUAAUACCGCAUAACAUAACGGGGCGGCAUCGUCCUGUUAUCAAAGGAGAAAUCCGGUAUGAGAUGGGCCCGCGUCCGAUUAGCUGGUUGGUGAGGUAACGGCUCACCAAGGCGACGAUCGGUAGCCGAACUGAGAGGUUGGUCGGCCACAUUGGNGACUGAGACACGGCCCAGACUCCUACGGGAGGCAGCAGUGGGGAAUAUUGCGCAAUGGGGGAAACCCUGACGCAGCAACGCCGCGUGAAGGAAGAAGGCCUUCGGG